GGUAAUUUGGUUGGAGGGGGGGGGAGAGGGGGGGGGGGGGAGAUAAAUUGUCCUGCACACGCGACAUUAUCGAAUAGUUCUGGAAGGAUCCGGUUCACGGUCAGCGCUGGCGCUCCUUGUCCGUCCGUCCGUCUGUCAUGUUUUCACGCGCGACCUCCCGCUCCCCUCCAGGGCUCCGGUGUCCGGACAUCGAGCGGCUGCCAGGGGCCCCGCGGAGAGCCCGGCGCCCGGCGGCCGCCGCCCCGCCCUCCCUCAACCCCCCGGGGUGGGAAGACCCCCGGCCGGGCCCCCCCCCCACAGCGGACCCGCCCAGACACCUCUCCGCAGCGGGGGGCUUCCUGCUCCGCGCCUCCACGGGGGACGACUGGGCCAGGACACCUCGGAGACCGGUGAAGGAGGAGUCCCGGGUCACUCAGGUCGGAGCCCUGCGUGUCCACAGCAACAUCAGACUGGAGUCGUUCAUCAUCCCCCGAAGCCCGGCGCGACCUCCAGCCGACGGAGCGGACCUCCCCCCUGCGGACCCCCCCGUGCCCACCCCCUCUAGCCCGUGUCCAGCGUUGCUACGGGCGACCCUGCAGAGGGACGGGGGCGCGGCGAGGGACGGGGGGCUCCAGGGCGGCGGCGGCGGCGGCGGCGGCGGCGGCGGCGGUGCCGGCGGCGGAUGCGGCUGCUGCAGCUCGGGGCCCAUGCCGCUGGUGACGGACCUGGAGUACGACGCCUUCGUCCGGGGCCAGGGCCCCGUGGCGAGCAGGUCCUGGUGGUGUGUGUGACCGCGCCCGACGGCCGUGACGACACGCUGGAGCUGCUCCAUCAGAGACGGAGCAGGAGACGCAGCGCGCCGUGCGUUCAGUGUCAGAUGGACUCUUUCCGCCUGGUGAGGUACGAGGUGUCCGCAGGGAGGACCGGCCCGGCCAGAAGAAGCCUGCUGCAGAUCCGCCACAGCGUCGCUCCUGGCACACUGCUGGUUAGCAUGCGUCAACCGCCGCUUUAAGAGCAGCAGCUGUCUGUUGAUUUAUGCGCAUGAACACACGGACGUUUACCACUAGAGGGCAGUGCAGCUCGCCUAAAUGUUACACGGUACUGCUCAGUCUCUUCGGACCAUUUCUUCAAAUGGCAGAUUCUACAAGGGGAAGUUGUGAGCAUGUCUUGACCUGAUGGCUAUUACUAUUCUGAUUGAUUUAAGAUUCAAAAACGGUAUUAGUCCAUUGAUCAUACUUGCAGUGAAAUGCUGUUUUGCAGACACCGCAGACUAAAAACUAGAAAGAAAGGUGGACAAUACAGGAUAUACAUUACAUCAUGUGUGCAAAACAAUUUCAACAUUAUACAGUUUAUGACUAAAAAUAUACACGAGCUGUAGGACUCUGACGGGGCUCAACACAAUAGGUGAAACUUGACUCACUGAGCAGAGAUUUUGAAAUGGCCCCGGCUGUCAUGACGAACAGGAUACUCUGGUUCCUGUUGUGGAAUGGCACACUUGCAAUCCACAAACGUCCCACUGUUGAGCGAGCAGAGUGACGGCAUUUGUGGAUAACCUCCAUGAUUGAGAUAUAACCCUUACCCAAUAGUCUGCCAACAAUCUGUGUGUGUGUGUGUGUGUGUGUGUGUGUGUGUGUGUGUGUGUGCGUGUGCGUGUGUGUGUGUGCGUGCGUGUGUGUGCGUGCGUGUGUGUGACAACAGGCACAAUUUAUGUAAUCAGAUACAAAUAUCUUGUUCCUCUUUGUAUUUCAUGCGCAAACAGUUUCCUUAAUUUCGAAUUAAAAUUAAAAAAAAAAUCAAUGGAACUUAAAAUCAUGAAUGGCGGAAAUAAGAGCCUCCUUUGUUCUUCUCCCAGAUGUACAUCAGGGGGAAGCUGCUGUUUGCCGACCACGUCUCAAACUGCUCCCGCGGCUCCAUCAGGAGCCUCCACCGGCAGAUCUCCACCAGCAGAAGGGACUUCAGGCUGGGCUUGAGUCUCCCUGCAGACCACAAGAUCAGGUACUCCCGGCCGUGAAUCUUGGUAUAAUAUACAAAUACUGUUUAAAUCAUGGAGAACAUAUUGGAGAGUCAUGUGAUUUCAGACCCUUUUAUAUAAUGGUAAAUUAUGCAUACACAUGUUUAGUUUCAAUAAUGCAGUGCAUACUUUCAGCGAUGGUCACCACAUCCAUCGAUAACAUCUUUGCAUUGAAAUUUAUACUUCUCUUAUUGUACUUAUAGACAUAUUUGGGUGCAUUUCUCAAUCGUUUUGUUCUCAUGUCAUUUUUAAGCUCUUUGAAUGAUAUUACCGCUCCUGUUAUUUCUGUCGUGACGCGGAAUACCUGCUGUGCCCUCGCAAGAAUCCAGCUUACGCGUGGAGGUCUGUGGCCGGUCUCCUCGUUCACCCGGCGGUCUCUCCUUUCACAGUGCUAAGCUGAAGGGCUCCGUGGCCGCAGACUCGCUGUCCACUCUCGAGUCCUGGCCGAUAUCGACCUCCCUCGACCGCAGCGAAACGCGUCUGAGGCACACGGCGACUCAAGAUCCGAUCUUCUGAGAAGCCAUCAAGAUCAGAGGACACCCCAACAGGACGGGAGAACGAUAAAACACAGUCCUGUUGCCCAUCCUACUCCUCUUGUCAGACACUAAACAUCUCCAGCCAUGUCUACUGUACCACAUGACCUAAUAAUAAACUGGUGUGCUACAUCUGUCAGUCAGGGCAGAGUGUGUGACUUUGUGUUGAGGAUGUGGAAUUGUGAGCCAUCAAAUCAUUGGUUAUU
ensembl:lncRNA